rnacentral:rRNA from 1 species
UACGGAGGGUGCAAGCGUUGCUCGGAAUUAUUGGGCGUAAAGCGCGUGUAGGCGGCUAGACAAGUCUAAUGUGAAAUCCUGGAGCUUAACUCCAGAACUGCAUCGGAUACUGUUUAGCUAGAGGAUGAGAGAGGAUGGUGGAAUUCCUGGUGUAGGGGUGAAAAUCCGUAGAUAUCAGGAGGAACAUCGGUGGCGAAGGCGGCCAUCUGGCUCAUUUCUGACGCUGAGACGCAAAAGCGUGGGGAGCAAACAGG